AACGAACGCUGGCGGCAGGCCUAACACAUGCAAGUCGAGCGCCCUUUCGGGGGUGCGGCGGACGGGUGAGUAACGCGUGGGAAUAUGCCCUUCUCUACGGAAUAGCCUCGGGAAACUGAGAGUAAUACCGUAUACGCCCUGUGGGGGAAAGAUUUAUCGGGGAAGGAUUAGCCCGCGUUGGAUUAGGUAGUUGGUGGGGUAAUGGCCUACCAAGCCGACGAUCCAUAGCUGGUUUGAGAGGAUGAUCAGCCACACUGGGACUGAGACACGGCCCAGACUCCUACGGGAAGCAGCAGUGGGGAAUCUUAGACAAUGGGGGCAACCCUGAUCUAGCCAUGCCGCGUGAGUGAUGAAGGCCUUAGGGUUGUAAAGCUCUUUCAGCUGGGAAGAUAAUGACGGUACCAGCAGAAGAAGCCCCGGCUAACUCCGUG
rnacentral:rRNA from 1 species